rnacentral:rRNA from 1 species
AGCGAACGCUGGCGGCAGGCCUAACACAUGCAAGUCGAACGAACUCUUCGGAGUUAGUGGCGGACGGGUGAGUAACACGUGGGAACGUGCCUUUUGGAUCGGAAUAACUCAGGGAAACUUGUGCUAAUACCGAAUGUGCCCUUCGGGGGAAAGAUUUAUCGCCAUUAGAGCGGCCCGCGUCUGAUUAGCUAGUUGGUGAGGUAACGGCUCACCAAGGCGACGAUCAGUAGCUGGUCUGAGUGGAUGACCAGCCACACUGGGACUGAGACACGGCCCAGACUCCUACGGGAGGCAGCAGUGGGGAAUCUUGCGCAAUGGGGGAAAGCCUGACGCAGCCAUGCCGGGUGAAUGAUGAAGGUCUUAGGAUUGUAAAAUUCUUUCACCGAGGACGAUAAUGACGGUACCCGGAGAAGAAGCCCCGGCUAACUUCGUG